ACGAGCGAGAAAGGGCUUCGGCCCCGGUAAAGCGGCGCACGGGUGAGUAACACGUAGGCAAUCUGCCUCGAGGUGGUGGAUAACCCUCCGAAAGGAGGGCUAAUACAGCAUGAGACCACGUCGUCGAAAGACGAUGCGGCCAAAGCCGGCCUCUUCAUGAAAGCUGGCGCCACGAGAUGAGCCUGCGGCCCAUCAGCUAGUUGGUAGGGUAACGGCCUACCAAGGCAAAGACGGGUAGCUGGUCUGAGAGGAUGAUCAGCCACACUGGAACUGAGACACGGUCCAGACUCCUACGGGAGGCAGCAGUGGGGAAUCUUGCGCAAUGGGCGAAAGCCUGACGCAGCGACGCCGCGUGAGCGAUGAAGGCCUUCGGGUUGUAAAGCUCUGUGGAGGGGGACGAAUAAGGGCACGCUAAUACCGUGUUUGAUGACGGUACCCCUUUAGCAAGCACCGGCUAACUCUGUGCCAGCAGCCGCGGUAAGACAGAGGGUGCAAACGUUGUUCGGAAUUACUGGGC
rnacentral:rRNA from 1 species